rnacentral:rRNA from 1 species
UACGGGGGGGGCAAGCGUUGUUCGGAAUUACUGGGCGUAAAGGGCUCGUAGGCGGCCAACUAAGUCAGACGUGAAAUCCCUCGGCUUAACCGGGGAACUGCGUCUGAUACUGGAUGGCUUGAGAUUGGGAGAGGGAUGCGGAAUUCCAGGUGUAGCGGUGAAAUGCGUAGAUAUCUGGAGGAACACCGGUGGCGAAGGCGGCGUCCUGGACCAACACUGACACUGAGGAGCGAAAGCCAGGGGAGCAAACGGG